UACGUAGGGAGCAAGCGUUGUUCGGAUUUACUGGGCGUAAAGGGCGCGUAGGCGGCGCGGUAAGUCACUUGUGAAAUCUCUGAGCUUAACUCAGAACGGCCAAGUGAUACUGUCGCGCUAGAGUGCGGAAGGGGCAAUCAGAAUUCUUGGUGUAGCGGUGAAAUGCGUAGAUAUCAAGAGGAAUACCUGAGGUGAAGACGGGUUGCUAGGCCGACACUGACGCUGAAGCGCGAAAGCCAGGGGAGCAAACGGG
rnacentral:rRNA from 1 species